CAGAGUAUAAAGAAAUCAGUUUAGACACCAGACAUUUUGUUCCAUAAAAUGGCUAGGGUAGCAAUAUGGCUGACAACAAGACAAUGUCAGCUUCCUCAUAGUUCUUCUUUUGUUUGCUGGAUUUUCACCACAAUGCUCUGUGCAACACCCCAAUGGUUGAAAGGGUUAUUACAGAACCAGCGGUAUUAGACAGCACUGCACCUUCAGGACUUUCCAGGUUCUUACGUGCAAAGUUUAUGUCCUCAUAAGUAAGUAUCUCAGUUUCUUCGGCCUGCAUGGAUAAUGACCAAACAGAUGUAAUUGCAAAAUACUUAUUGCAUGGUCAGCCAGAGAGAUUGGUGUGUAGUCCCAGAAAUCAGGCGGCACAAACACUCCAGGACGGUCUCUACAAUCAUACAAACACAAGGAUCAAUACAACAUCAAUUAAUUAACUACCUAGGCUAAAACUUAAAUUAGAGAUUAAGGUUAAACCCUUAACUUGUGUAACAUGUACUUCUCUUAUAUUUGCUUAUAUUUUAUGCAAUCUGUGUUCUAUGAAGUUUUACAUAAUUUCCCUUUGGAAUGCCUUUGUACGGAUGAGAGAAGCACUCACUCUAUAGAAAUGCUUGUUAGGAUGAAUAUUAAAACACUAACAUAUACAUAUGGGGAUAAUUCCCAAUAAAACUCUGUUCCUAAACUGGAACCUUGAUUUGAUAUUCAAAAUUAAUUACUUUAAUACUCCCGAAUAAUUCAAUACUCUCGGAUUAACACCUAAAACUAUGUAAAAUAUUAAAAACAUGAACCAUCUGUGUAUUAGGCUGGGAUUGUUGGGUGUGGGUAUAGGUUAGAAGCUAUGGUUGAUAUUGAGGAAUCUAUGGGGGUGGGUUUGGGCACUCAUUUUUUCAGUGACCCUGCUAUCCACAAUUGCUGUAUCUUCCCAAAAAAAUAAUUUGGGGUCAAAAAGGGCCAGUCACAGACCAACAAGGAACAAAAGUGAACAAGGAGGAAGCAUAUUCCAUAUGCAGGUCGGGAUUACUUAACUCACACCCCCUCUUUGUGUACCCCUCUUUGUACCACACAGAUUUAAUAUUAAUAAGCUUUUAAAGGUUGAAUGGAUAGUUAAAUUUUGUAUAUAAAGCAAGGUUGUCUAGGGGUAUAUACAUAUAGGCAUAGCCUUCAUAUAGGGCUUGCAAUACUGACAGUCUGUGUCAUGAGCGUAAUGCAGACAUGCGGUUAGGUACUUUUCCAUUGUUAUAAUAUAUUGAAAACACUAAGACUUUGCAAAUUUUUAAAACACAUAUUGCUUCCUGUACCUGGUGCCGUGCAAGGAUGUAGUUGGGACAUAUUUCUUAUUGAGUAUCAAAAAUCUAACCACAAAACUAAAUGUUAUACGCUUAUCAAGAAAACAAGUUUAACCCGUUAGUGCGUAC